AAAACCUUCAUUAAUACUUUUAUUGUUGAACACUAUUGGAUUAAAUAGACUGGCAGUUGGUGGAACUAAAUUAACUGAGGAUGCUGGAAAAUGAGUAAAAUUAUCUUCAUUAUAAUUAAAAUUGGGAUUUUGUAUUAUUUCUUGGUCAAAUCUUUUUAUUUGAUUACUUGGUGGGAAUUGACCAAUUUUAGAAUUUGGAAUAGACCCUCCUAUUAUAGAAGAAGGAGCUGAAAUAGGAACUGAAUUUGAGGCUAAGUUUGGAGCAGAACCUAAAUCUUGGUUAAUAUUCUUACUAGUAUCCACUGUUUUUCUAUCUUCUAAUUGAUUGGAUUCAUCUUUCUUGUUCUCGCCUUCCUGAUCAUUGUUUUCUCUAAAUGUUGGAGGGGAAUCUACUUGUGAAACCUGGUUUUCAGAUGAAUUAAUAGGUUUACUUAAUAUACUUAGGUUCACAGAAUGGAAAACUAAGUUAUCAUUCUUGUUGGCUUGUAACAUAGAAUUGUAAGCUUCUUGAGGUAUUAAAAAGUUCUGGUUCUUUCUUAAAUGUCUUAUACAAUUAUCAGUUAUUCUAAAAUAAUGAUCAAAAUCAAAAUCUAUACUUUUGUCUCCUCCAAAUGGAGAACAAAAAUAUUCAGAAACAGUCCCAGCUCCUCCUGAAUGAAUAGUUAAUUCUGGAUUUUGAUCUAAAUGAGCAAGAAUUGAAGUUUUCAGGCAUGAGAUGUACUCUCUAACUCUUGCUAGAAUUGUUUUAUAUGAAAGUUCAUUCCUUGGUCUUCCUUGUUGUAAUAUUCCAGUAGCAAUAUCACUAAUAGCUUUACAAAAUGACCAGGUAAAAACUCCAUGAAUUAUAUUAUAAGCUCCACCUCUAGAUAUUGGAAUCUCUAUUACACCUAAUUUAGAUUCUGUUGUAGAUGAAAGUAAUCCAGAACUAUUAAAUGAUUGAGAAUUAGGAGUAGAAAUUGGACCAUUUGAUAAACCCAUUGAAGAAUCUGUUACUUGAGUCUUUCUAGUAACUGAUAACAAAGGUAAUGAGGCUUCAGCAGCUAUUUGACUCCAUGGAGCAGCAGAAAAACAAUAUCCUUUACAUGAUAAAGAUACAUAUUGUGUAGAUUGAAGACUUGGAUCUUUUAAGUUUUGUGUAUUACCAAUUUGAACACAAGGAACAUAUCUUGGUCUUACAAGUCUAUGAACCAUUUGUUCGUCUUUAAAUACUGAUGAAUUAUAUUGUGCUCUUUUAACUUUAUUAGUAGCUGAAAGAAAUGGCCAAAUUCCUUUUGUUACUAUACCUUUAAUAUACCACAUACCAUUCAAAUUACCAGCUGGAUCUAAAAUAGUCUGACCUCCAUUACAAUCUAAAAUUACAUUCAAUUGAGUUUCAGGAGGAACACACAAUAAUAAUUCUUUAAGUUCACUGCAAAGUAAUACAUUAUAUUCAUCUAAAUCUGAACCAUUUGAAGCUAAGUAUAAUGUAGAAUCUGCUGGAAGUAGUGCUUCAUCAUAUCCUUCUCCUUCAUAUGAUGUUAGAACAUCUACUUGUACUCCAUGUCCUGCAAAAUAAAAUACAAGAAUAUCACCAGCUUCUGCAUCUCUAGUUAACCAAUUUAUUGCUGUUAAAAUAUUUCUUUUAUUUGGAUAUAUUCUGGAAUCAUGAUGUUUUGUUGGUGGAAUUUCAUCUCUUGGCCAGUUAUCAUAGAAUGAAAUUGGUUCUUGAGAAUCAACUAAAGUAUCAUAACCUCUAUCUGGUUCACUAUCAGUUAGAAAGAUUAUAUCUGAUGCAUUGAAAUCAAAGUGAGACAUUAAUGUCAAAGCCAUUAACUUUGCAUCAUUUGCACAACCUCUUAAACUAAUUCCUUCUGUUUCCACAUAAUUAAUUCCAAUAAUGACUGCUUUUUUCUUAGGGAUAUGCCCAUUCAUUUUUUUUUAAUUUCCUAUUAAAAUAAUUUUUGUAAAUACGAUAACAUGCAC
rnacentral:antisense_RNA from 1 species